GUUCAAGGAACGAAGGCUAAGAACGCCACCUCGUGUGGCAACGCCUUCGUGACCAACCUCCUGUUGC
rfam:Paenisporosarcina sp. HGH0030 genomic scaffold acAqH-supercont1.1, whole genome shotgun sequence.